rnacentral:lncRNA from 1 species
CGUUGCCCGUAUAACACCAUGGUACCGAGUGACCACUUGAUCUCAAUAGAUGUUAGACUCUGGUUAUUGCGGUGACAGGUGGGUUGUAAAGAUCAUGACCUGUUUCUAUCAACUGUUUUAUCCAAAUGGCCUGUCGAUGCUACGCAAGAAUGCUGUAAAGAUCUUGACCUGUUUCUAUCAACUGGAUGCCGGUCAGAUGCUAUGCAAGCAUGUAGUCACAGCUUUUUUUUAUAAAAGAACUUUAUUUUUUGAAAGAGGAGGCAAAAGCUUGCCUCGCUCAUUAAUUAGAGAGAAUUCCUUAUUUAACACUGUCUUAAAAUU